ACUAAAAUUACAAUAUAUUAACUUAUUAUCUACCGAAAAAUUUCUGACAACGUCAACAAACACGUCACAGCUCGUGAACUCUGAGCUUUCAGGAUCUUUCCACUUACGAGGUUGUGAAUGCCACAAGAGGAGGGCUUUAUAAGGACUCAUCUCGUGAACACGGUAAACACGAUCCCAUUUGAAGGCACCAAUAUUUGCCCGGUCAGCACAUAGUAAUUUUUGGUGAUUUAAUGUCGGCUUUGUGAGCUUACAGAGGUCACAAAUGAUCCUGCAGAUCCUGUACUCGCCGAUGCAUUAGCUGGCACAGGAAGAGGAAAUCAAAACCAUAGAGGAAUCAAUUAAUUGUGCUGUGAUUUUUUUUUUUUUUUUUUUUAGGCUGCGCUCAGCGCUUACAUGACUGAAAUAGAAACAUGGCAUCAGAUAAUGCUGCAGGGUACCAGCCCAUCCAUUCCAACGCUAACAUGGACAGCCAGGAUAUACCAAUUGAUCUUACUGGGAGCACUCCAUCUCAUCCUCGCGUACUGAGUACACAGAUAGAAACGAUUCAUUUUAAAACAAUGAUUCAUGGGGUUUGUAAACUAUUUGAUGUAUGCCAUAUUGGGCAUUUCUCCUUUACAACAUACGCACUGCGUAACACAAUAAAUAAUAUUGCAGUUUACAAGAAGGUGUUGCCCAUGAAGAUGCAUCAUACGUAUGUUACACUUAAUCUAUUAUAUUCAUAUGAGAGCAUGAUGUGUUGUUAAAAGUUAGUGGACAUGCUGACGAGACUUCAUAUUAACUUUCAUCAGGAGUUUCACUCAUUUUGUUUUCAUGUUUGACACAUGUUGAACAUCUGUUACACUGGAUUUAAGAAUUUGGCAGACUGUAUGUAAUGGACGUUUUAUUUGACGGGAAUACUUUGCUAAAAUGAUCUAGAUCACAUUAAAGGGAUAGUUCAGGUGUUUUGAAGUGGGGUUGUAUGAGGUAAUUAUCUAUAGUCAGUGUAUCACUUACAGUAGAUGAUGGUCGGCACGCCCCCAGCUUGGAGAAACAGAUAGGAGUUACCGCACAGAAGCAAAGCGAUGUAUUGCUGUGAACGGGGCCAGCGGCAAAACGUAUUUUAGCCACCUAAAAGAUCAGUUUAAGUGUACGCUACGUGUAGAAUAUUUUCACCGCUUUACCUUGCCGUGACACAGCUAUACAGUCUGCUUCUGACGGGAAACUGAAGCCGUUACUAUGCUCUCGCCAAAGCAACCAGACUCCAUUGGAAAAAGACAGUAAUUUUACUCCGCGAAACACGGGUGUUGCUUGUCUAUCGCUGCCUUGAUUGGUUACUUUGUAUGUGUUAUUGUGUGGUGAAAAUAUUGUAAAUAUAGCGUACACUUAAACAGAUAUUGAUUUUUUUUUGGGAGAGCCUUUCUUUUAAGUGUCUAAAAGUGUCUGCUGCUGGCCCCGUCCACAGCAGUACAUUGCUUUGCUUCUGUGCGGUACCUCCUGUUACUUUGUAUGUGUUAUUGUGUGCUUUUGGUUGGUUCGGAUUCACCAAAGUACAGACAGCCCCACUUCAAAACACCUGAACUAUCCCUUUAAUCUCAUGGAAACAAUAACUCUCAUCCAUACAGUUACUUUAACACCAAACAAUACAAAAAGAGGUGGCAGAUGCUACAGUAAGACAUACGACCUUAAAUGUCAUGUCUUCUUUUCUGAUCUGAUUAUAAUAAUAAUCCGUUUCAAUAGAAUACACUGUAACAUGCCUGCGAUGCAUCAGAAAGCACAUCCUAUCAGAUGUCAAAACAACCACAUGCACUUUGAAACCAAGUUUGUUUGGAUGACGAGCACUGAAUUUGUUUGAGUUCCUCGCGUGCAUCACUGAUUAGUUCUAUUUCUUAGAAAGACUUCUGUUGAAACAGUUGCCUUACUUCUGCUUUUGUCACUAAAAUGGCAUAUUAGGGAUUUCAAGAAAUCCGUUGUCUGUGCGCACAGUCCUCUAGACUAUACCUCAUGGGAUUUGAGUUUGCAAAUGCUGUGUUCUCUUUCCUUUCCUUCCUAGACAAGGUGUUUUAUUUGACAGUUUAAAAUACUCAACAGUGGUUUGUAUGCAUGCCUGAACUUGAUAUAUAUGUUCACACUUGAACAGGGACUGCGAACCUGGUUUUCACAAUGGAAAACCAGAUUUUUAAACUUAAAUAUUUCAUUGGGUGGUGCCACACCGACGUUAAUUCAUAAUGAAUUGCAGUGUGGUACCUUGUAAUGAACGUUGCCUUAUUUAAAGACAUUUAAUGGAUCGUAAUGAUUAUGUAAAAUUCCAGACCUUUUUAAACCAAAGUUGAUAUGAAAAGGGUAAAAAAUGUACAUUUCAAGUCCCAAAUGCAUUACUCGUUAAUUUCUCAGAUCCACAUCUAGUGUAGUGUAGCGCUAUCACCAACAGCAUUAUGCUCUACUGUGAGUGUAAAUAUAUAUUUUAAUAGACUACACUCAGACGAGUUUUUUAGUUGUGGUUAAUUAGCUUUUCUUCACUAUUUGGUACACUGCACCAGAUGGUCAUCAUCAGGCUUUUUACGGAUCCAUAUAUAAUUUGGGAACUCUGCUGUGAAUGUGGAACAUAACGCACAAAUAGACUGAAGUCCUGCCACGUCAUGUCACCAUGGUUCAGUUGCUUAAAAAAUCCUGACAACUUUUCAACUCCUUUGUGAUUAUUUAAUGUGAAACACAAUUUUUCAAAACUAUAUUAAUGCGUUGGACUUACCCCCCCCACAAACACACAAGUCAUUAUUAAUAUCCAUGAGCACAAAUUUACAGCUUGCUGACAAACUUUUGCUGUAAUAAUACCCAAGAUUAUCUGACUGCUGUGUGUAAAAAGAAAUAAUCCAGAAUAUUUUUUUUUUAAUUGGGUGUCUUUCUUAAAAGUCCAGUUGUGACAUCAAUUUGGGAAGGACAUGCUCUACACAGUCUUCCCACCAGGAGGAGCUGUUGGCAACAAUUGGCCCAAUAUGUAUUAGUUGUACCAACAAAGCAUUUCAUGAUUCUAUAACCCUACCUCUAAUUAUGAGUAUAUAAAUCACUGGCAAUAUUAUGUAGACGUCAACAAAAAUUCCUUAAGAUCAAUACUAUAUAUAUUUCAUGAUUUAGAGUUCUCUGUUUCAAUAUUUGUUGUGCUUUACUUUUUUCUUUUUUUUUUUUUUUUUACUCUGUUGCCUUCUUUUUCCCUUCUCUUUCCCCACUCUGGAUAUUUUCCUUAUUUACCAUGGGAGCGAAUUAUGUGUACAUAACUUUAUAAAAGUGUGAAAGCAUUCAUGAAAAUAAAACUUUAUGGCAAUUAA